GACGAACGCUGGCGGCGUGGAUUAGGCAUGCAAGUCGGACGGUAGGGCUUUAUCGUAAGAUAGAGUUUGAGAGUGGCGAACGGGUGAGUAACACGUAGGAAUCUACCCUUAAGACGGGGACAACCCAGGGAAACUUGGGCUAAUACCGGAUGAGAGUGCGAGAGAUUGCAUUUAAAAGGAUGGCGAAAGUUGUCGCUUAGGGAUGAGCCUGCGGUCUAUUAGUUAGUUGGUGAGGUAAGAGCUCACCAAGGCGAUGAUAGAUAGGCGGCCUUAACGGGUGGUCGCCCACACUGGGAUUGAGAUACGGCCCAGACUCCUACGGGAGGCAGCAGUCGAGAAUAGUCUACAAUGGCCGGAAGGCUGAUAAGUGCGACGGCCGCGUGAACGAGGGACGCCCGUUCGGGGUGUAAAGUUCUUUUCUAAUACGAGCAGUGCUAUAUAGUAUGGAUAGUAUAUAUAGAGGGUAUAGUAAGUAUAAGGAAUAAGACAACGGCUAAACUCCGUGCCAGCAGCCG
rnacentral:rRNA from 1 species